rnacentral:rRNA from 1 species
GAGUUUGAUCCUGGCUCAGGAUUAACGCUGGCGGCGUGCCUAACACAUGCAAGUCGAGCGGCAGCGAGUUUUACACUGAUUUCUUGAAACCUCUAGUUGAAGAGAGGAUAAUUCGAGGGAUUUGUGUAAGAUGUCGGCGAGCGGCGGACGGCUGAGUAACGCGUGGGAAUCUGCCCCAAAGUGAGGGAUAACGCACCGAAAGGUGUGCUAAUACCGCAUAUGGUCUUCGGAUUAAAGUCUUCGGACGCUUUGGGAAGAGCCUGCGUCAGAUUAGAUAGUUGGUAGGGUAAUGGCCUACCAAGUCUACGAUCUGUAACUGGUUUGAGAGGAUGAUCAGUCAGACUGGAACUGAGACACGGUCCAGACUCCUACGGGAGGCAGCAGUGAGGAAUCUUCCACAAUGGGGGCAACCCUGAUGGAGCAACGCCGCGUGCAGGAUGAAGGCCUUCGGGUCGUAAACUGCUUUUAUAAGUGAUGAAUAUGACAGUAGCUUAUGAAUAAGGAUCGGCUAACUACGUGCCAGCAGCCGCGGUCAUACGUAGGAUCCGAGCGUUAUCCGGAGUGACUGGGCGUAAAGAGUUGCGUAGGUGGUUUAAUAAGUGAAUAGUGAAAUCUGGUGGCUCAACCAUUCAGACCGUUAUUCAAACUGU